rnacentral:lncRNA from 1 species
GCUGUGCUUUCGUCUUUAUAUGCUGUGCUUUCUUCUUUAUAUGCUGUGCUUUCUUCUUUAUAUGCUGUGCUUUCUUCUUUAUAUGCUGUGCUUUCGUCUUUAUAUGCGGUACUUUUUUCUUUAUAUGUUGUGCUUUCUUCUUUCUAUGCUGUGCUUUCUUCUUUAUAUGCUGUGCUUUCGUCUUUAUAUGCUCUGCUUUCGUCUUUAUAUGCUGUACUUUUGUCUUUAUAUGCUGUGCUUUUUUCUUUAUAUGCUGUGCUUUCUUCUUUAUAUGCUGUGCUUUUUUCUUUAUAUGCUGUGCUCUCUUCUUUAUAUGCUGUGCUUUUUUCUUUAUAUGCCGUGCUUUCGUCUUUAUAUGCUGUGCU